rnacentral:rRNA from 1 species
GAUGAACGCUGGCGGCGUGCCUAAUACAUGCAAGUCGAGCGAAACGACGAGGACCUUGCUCCCCUGAGUUUGUCGCCGGACGGGUCAGUAACUCAUGGUUAACCUACCUCUCCGACUGGGAUACUUUCGGCAAACCGGAGCUACUACCGGAUAACAUGUUGAACUGCAUGGUUCGCCCGUGAAAGUAGCUCUUGCUUUCACUAAAAGACGGCCCCGCGCCCCAUUCGCUAGUUGGGAAGGUAACGGCUUACCAAGGCAACGACGCGUAGCCGACCCGAGCGGGUGAUCGGACACACUGUAACUGAGACACGUUCCAGACUCCGACGGGGGGCAGCAGUAGAGAAUCUUCCGCGAUGGGCGAAUGCCUGAUGGAGCAACGCCGCGUGAAUGAAGAAGGUGUUCUGAUCGGAGAACUCUGUUGUUAGGGAGGUAGUAAUGUGUAAGUAACUGUGCUCGUCUUGACGGUACCUAAACAGAAAGCCACGGCUAACUACGUG